UGUUCAAAAGUAUUUCCCAUUCCCAUGGGCGAAUGGGACUUUUUGAGCCCCGGCGUGAAUGGGAGCAAUAAUGAAUGUCACUUGAUGUGAAUUCCACCAAUCAAAUGACAAGGAUCUGUAUGUUGGUUAUAUAAUACAUAGUAUUUAUCAUAUGUUCAUAUGAUAAAUACAGAUACAAACCUGUUACUGAAAUGUCAUACAGUUUGUACCACUAUUAUGGUAGAUUGGGUUUAAAUUAUAAUUUCUUGUAGUUGAAUACCCUGCUAUAAAUCCAAAUUACUACAGUAAGAUCCCAAUCAACAUUAUUCAACAUACAUUAGGAAACAUAUGUACACAACACUGAAAUUAUGAAAAUUAAUUUGUACAUUUUGAAUUGUGUGAAAACGAUUGUGUUGAAUUUUGUGGUUGCGGCCUAAUACCUUCUCAUGGUUUUUUUUUUUUGGGGGGGGGGGGGGUUUCAGUGUAUUGUUAUAAAUUCCUUUCUACAAAUCAGUUAUGUUAUAGUUAGAUAUACUAUAGAUAUGCUAUACUAUAGUUGAUAUACUAUAGAUAUUCAUUUUUUAAGGUAAAAACCUUGGGAAAUGAAUGUGGUCUAUAAUAGGGUGAAGGUAAUAGGGUGAAGGUAAUAGGGUGAAGGUUUGGGGUUAUUCAUAACCAAGGUACUCUAUUGACAAAUUUCCAGUUUAGAGCAUGUGAUCCUUUUCUUGUUUUAAUGUGCACAACAAAUAAGAGUACGGAGGCCCUCGGCGUCAGUUGUCCAUUAUGUGCAAUAUAAAACUAUUAUGCCCAGUUUGAAUUUUAUUAAGAUAUGCUGAGAUGUUAUAAAAACAUCUGUUCAUAUUUUGUUGACAUUGUUCUUUUUAAGUCUUCAAAUAAACAUGAUUGGUGAUCGUAUUUUCUCCAAUAUUUGGUAGCCUUGCGUAGUAGGAUCAGCACAUGUGCUGAAUUAUUUCUACUUUUGAGAGAAGAGGUGGGAACACAUAUUUGAUAUUUUUUCCAGUUUACACUCGAUUCAUGCUGUACAUGUUCUUUGUUUCACUUCUAUAUGGUUGAUUCCCCAUGUUAUUUGAUGAUGAAAUAAAACAGAUUUUAACAGAAGAUUAUUCUUCUCGAGACAUCA